rnacentral:lncRNA from 1 species
CAGAAUGAGGGACACUGACCAGCUCUAACCCAUCUCUAGGCACUAGGUCAUCUUGUCUCAAAAGACCUGUAUAAAAGUAGGCUGUUUCAUGCAAGGAAACUGCAGUUAGGAAAAUUACAUAUGUGCUUUAGACCACUCACAGGUAAAGGGUGGUGCCUGGUCAGGAGCUCUGGUUUUGCUCUUAACCCUUACACAGCCCUGCUUCCUUCAGAAAAAGUGUGGGGUGGAGUUCCCGUCGUGGCUCUGUGGUUAAUGAGCCCGACUAGUAUCCAUGAGGAUGUGGGUUCCAUUCCUGGCCUCGAUCAGUGGGUUAAGGAUCUGGCGUUGCCAUGAGCUGUGGUAUAGGUCGCAGAUGCAAUUUGGAUCCCAUGUUGCUGAGGAAACACUGUCGAAUUUUUUUGUGUACUUUCUAUCUCAUUUCUUUGCAUACAUGUGUGUAUGUGUAUAAAUCAAAUUGGUAUUUUUAUUACUUAGCCACUUUUCUUUUGAUGGACACUAGAGAGGUUGCACGCCCUGGACCAAUGCAGAAUACAAAGCAUUUUUGUUAAUUAGCUAUCUAUGCCAUAUUGGGCUUUUCAUUCCUUUUUGUAUCACAAGAUCGUUUCUCUUGCUGAUUCAUCUCCUGCCAUAUCUUUUACAUUCUCUCUAUGUCCAUUGCCACUUCUCUGUACAACUCUUGUUACCUUUCUUCCCUUCCUUUCCUCCAAAACUGUCCUCAUAAAGGUUGCUGAAGUUCUGGUUAUUAAUAAUCCAGUGAUGCCCAGUUUAUCUAUUUGUUGCACUUGUUCCUGUGCUUCUAUUAUUUUGGUACUAAGAAACCAUCAAGGAUACAAAGAGUCAUGGCCUAUGUUCUCUUCUGAGAGUUUUAUAGUUUUAGUUCUUACAUUUAGCUGUUACAAAAAGGCAUUUAUUAAGGGGGUAUUUUACAGAAUUAGGAGGGUUUGAAGAAAUGGACUCUAGCUUUGGCUUCCAGGAACAACCCUCUCGAUCACAUUAUAGAACUGGGUUGCCAGAGAGAUGUGGUCUUGACCUUGACCACGAAGCUGGUACGCCCCUCUAGCUCCAGAACCACCCUAUCCUGCCAUGGUCUCCACCAGCAAAAUGAUUGCCUUGUGUCCCAUCCAUCUUCCACAUUCAACUCAGAGCCUCAGUCUCUUCAUUUAUAAACUGUGAGGGGCAUCUACCUCCAGGGUGUAUCUAGCACAUUUCACAAUUCGUGGGGCCUAAGCACAUGCCAGUGAUAUGGAUGUAGAUUGUAAAUGACUCGUUAGGACUUACCGGUGCCAACCAGCUGAAUAUUAACAGUCUUGACAGUAUUACAAGAAUUAAAUGAGCUUGGUACUGUAAUGCCAAGUGACAAGGGUUAUUUGAUGGUCCUGGGUACCUAUGGCAUGCCUGGUCUGACUGAGAUUACUCAGGGUAGCAGUGGUCAGACAGGUGAAAAUCCUAGAAACACCCCCCAAGACCUUAAAAGAGAGAGAAUGCUCUCACAGAUACAGACAAGAAUCUAAGCACUUGGACUCCUGCCUCUGAGCUCUCGACCUGAGCAUAACCUGGGCACACAGGAAAGAGAGCUGGGUGGUGUUUGGUCAGUCAAGGGGGAGACUGCUCCAGUUCUCAACUGUUAUUCUAGCAAAACAGGUGGAUGGAUUUGAGCCCAAGAGGUAAGAAGUGAGCAAAAUAACCAGGAUCGUUAGGCUUUGGGGUAUGCUUUGCAUGAGAAUGAUGGACACUAAACCUGUCGGAAGGAAAGGCAUGUACAGGAGUAAACAUGCCAGAGACUGGAGUCCAGAACCUUGAAAGUUUAAUGAGGACAGUUAGUGAAGCAGUACCCUGUGAUGAAUCACAUCAAAAGCACUGCUUAAAUCAAGUGGGAUCAUGGUGGACAAUACCAUUUAAUUUAACUGCUUAAAGGUCAUUUGAAACUCUUAAUAGUGCACUGGCAGGAGGACUUGGCUUCUAAAUCCAGGCAGAUAAAGGUGCAUUAGGUCUCCAGAGUGGAGGACUUAAGAUCUGAGCCAGCCCGGCAGAGCUGGUGCACCUGAAUAGAUGAGAAGAAGCAAGAGGAGACAGAUGAAAGUGAAACGGAGUCACUGCGGGUUUUUUACUUCUUUUAAUUUUUUAGAGAUCUCCUCACUGGAGGGCCUAAAAAGUGAUGUUAAGAAAGUAAUAAAUGAGUACAAGGUUAUUACAGGGAAUAUUGCUGUCAUGUUUUGUGAGCAAAUGAACAUGUUAUAUAAGUAGUUAUAAUGGCGGUACACAAGGUAGAGUUUCAUAUUUUCAGAAAAUAAAGAUUACAACUGAAUGUAUCUGGUGCAUAUUUAAUGAAGAGCAUAAUCAAGGGAUAUUGGAGCUGUAAAGGAACCGGCCAGUUGUCAGGUUCAGCCUCCUCAUUUGUGCAAAUGAGGAAAACAAAUUUGGAGAUGACUCUGGUAUCCUGAGUUUACACAGUCACCAGGGAUGGAUCCAGGAUUAGCACUCAGGCCUCUCAUGCUGUACUGGCCCAUCUACUUCAUUGUUACUGGGCUGCAGGAGCCUUAGCUAUAAACAGACACUUCAGGUUUUUGCGCUGUAACUAAACAGACUCUGGGGAGGCAGCUGGGAGAGGGAGAAUCAGAUUGAGCCAGAGUUGCUCAGGAGAUCCUGAAAAGCUAUGAAUUUGGAACCCAAAGGACAGAGCCUCCCUCUCCUCAGGGAAAGGGUGUCUAGGGUUUGGGCAUUUGCCUGCUCAUCCUUUGCGCUCACCUGCCUGCCCAGCUACUACACCUGUCAGGUGGCUGCUGGACUUGGACCAUGAGUCAAGAGAAGGAGUACUCCCAAAUUAGUCCCUUUCUGCUGGUGACGAUCUUUAAUCUCACCAUUGAAAUACACAGCUCCCUUUUCUCAUUUUUCUUUUGAAUGGAUUGGCUUUCCUUGUCUGUUUGCUUUCUUGUUUUCUUAUUCCAUUUCCCCUUUUUACUGAUUGGGAAGUUACAGCCUCUAUUUUUAAAUUUUUAGUGUUUGUCCUUGAAACAUUAAUAUGCAUACUUAUCACAGUAUUAUUGAGCAUUUUAAUCUUUUUUAAACCCUAAAAAUUAGCAGUUGUUAUUAUUUUAUGUAGUUAGUUUUUAUAUUUACUCCCAUGUUUACCACUUUCUUUAUUCAUAGUCCUUUCUCAGCCCUGUCUUUUCUUCUCAAGUAUAUCCUCCCUUUAGGUACAGGUCCUUUCGAUGGCAAAUUCCCUUUGUUUGGUUGCUGCACUUGUGUUCUUGUAAAGCUACAUAAUUCUUUGUUGACAGUUAUUUUCUCUCACCAGAGAUUUUGCCACCCUUUCGUGGCUUCCUGUGUAAGCUGUGGGCAAGUUGGGUAUCGGUCUCAUUGUCAUUACUGGUAACAAAGAUGUGUUUUUUCUCUUGAGUAUUUUUGGGACCAUCUUUGUCUUUCUUAUUUCAUGGUUUUACUACAGCAGGUCUAGGUGGGGAUUUUUUUUUUCCUUUUCCUUUAUCUGUGUGCUUCUUACCUGUGUAUUAAAGUCUCAUG